UUCCCUGGGCCAGUACAUGAGGCUGAGAUACAUGCAGUUGAUCAGGGCAUUCACCUGGGAUGUGCUGAAGCCAAAAUCACAUCAGAUGUCACGCUGAGAAGGGAGGGAGUCCCGUCUGCACACGCCUCUUGCUCAGAGUGUUCAGGAAUUUGGACCCAGGUGGCUGGAUUCUCCCACAAAAGCUGUGCUGUGCAGGAGGAACAUUUCAGGAUACUGUUGCAAGCUAAGCACUGCUGCAGAGGUCCAUGGCAUCAAACUUAAUAUGUUGGUCAUUAAAAGACAUCAAGCAUUUGUGCCUUCUGCUGAUUACAUAGAGGCUGCAGAACUUCUG